GGGUCCCUAGCUCAAUUGGCAGAGCAGCGGGCUUUUAACCCGAAGGUUGUGGGUUCGAUUCCCACGGGACCCA
rnacentral:tRNA from 1 species